rnacentral:misc_RNA from 1 species
UCUCCGUAGGUGAACCUGCGGAGGGAUCAUUACAGAGUUCUCGCCCUUACGGGUAGAUCUCCCACCCACUGUUAUCGUUACUGUCGUUUCUUUGGCGGGCCGCCGGGUCCCCGACCGCCGGCGCCUAGCUGCCGGCGCGCGCCCGCCAGAGGCCUUCAAACUCUGAAUGUUAGUGUCGUCUGAGUACUAUAUAAUAGUUAAAACUUUCAACAACGGAUCUCUUGGUUCUG